ensembl:miRNA
UGAGGCAGGAGAAUUGCUUGAACCCAGGAGGUGGAGGUUGCAGUGAGCCGAGAUCGUGCCACUGUGCUCCAGCCUGGGUGACAGAGCGAAACUCCA